rfam:Zea mays cultivar B73 chromosome 3, whole genome shotgun sequence.
GUUGCUUCACGACUGGAAGAAUGGCCUGAUCAUUUGAUCAGUUUGCUGGUCGUUCUGUAGAGGGAAGCAUAGACCGAACAAGUAGCCAGAAUUAAACAGCAUGAUGCUCGUCUCACUGCAUCCGUGUUACCUGUCUCCUGGCACAAUG